rnacentral:rRNA from 1 species
UACAGCCUGCUCAAUGUUAAUAUAAAUAGCCGCAGAUUUUCUGUGCCAAGGUAGCAUAAUCACUAGCCUCAUAACUAGAGGAUAGUAUGAAUGGCUUAACGAGAUAAAGACUGUCUCAUCACGACAAAGUAAACCUAACAUAAUAGUCAAAAGGCUAUUAUAACAAAAAGCUAGACGACAAGACCCUGACAAACUCAUAUAAAUUAGCUGGGGCGGCGACACAAAAACACCUUAAACCAAUCAAACAAACAAAACCAACAUAGUUGACUUAGAUAAAGUUACUGCAGGGAUAACAGCGCUACUUCUCUCAAGAGCCCUAAUCCAAAGAGAAACCUACGACCUCGAUGUUGAAUUAAUUAACCUAUUUUGUGCAAAAACUAAAUAAGGCAGUCUGUUCGACUAACAAAAAAUU